rnacentral:rRNA from 1 species
AGUGAACGCUGGCGUAGGCCUCACACCUGCAAGUCGAACGGCAGCACAGUAAGAGCUUGCUCUUACGGGUGGCGAGUGGCGGACGGGUGAGGAAUACAUCGGAAUCUACUUUUUCGUGGGGGAUAACGUAGGGAAACUUACGCUAAUACCGCAUACGACCUACGGGUGAAAGCAGGGGAUCUUCGGACCUUGCGCGAUUGAAUGAGCCGAUGUCGGAUUAGCUAGUUGGCGGGGUAAAGGCCCACCAAGGCGACGAUCCGUAGCUGGUCUGAGAGGAUGAUCAGCCACACUGGAACUGAGACACGGUCCAGACUCCUACGGGAGGCAGCAGUGGGGAAUAUUGGACAAUGGGCGCAAGCCUGAUCCAGCCAUACCGCGUGGGUGAAGAAGGCCUUCGGGUUGUAAAGCCCUUUUGUUGGGAAAGAAAAGCAGCAGGUUAAUACCCCGCUGUUCUGACGGUACCCAAAGAAUAAGCACCGGCUAACUUCGUG